CAAUAGCGUAUAUUAAAGUUGUUGCAGUUAAAAAGCUCGUAGUUGGAUUUCUGGUGGGAGCGAUCGGUCUGGCGCUUAGCGCGAGUACUUGCAUCGUCUCCGGCCAUCCUUGGGGAGAGUCUGCCUGGCAUUAAGUUGUCGGGCAGAGGAUCCUCAUCGUUUACUGUGAAAAAAUUAGAGUGUUCAAAGCAGGCUUAUGCCGUUGAAUAUAUUAGCAUGGAAUAAUAAGAUAGGACUUUGGUACUAUUUUGUUGGUUUGCGCACCAAAGUAAUGAUUAAUAGGGACAGUUGGGGGUAUUCGUAUUCCGUUGUCAGAGGUGAAAUUCUUGGAUUUACGGAAGACGAACUACUGCGAAAGCAUUUACCAAGGAUGUUUUCAUUAA
rnacentral:rRNA from 1 species